UUAAUUUUGAGUUUGAUCUUGGCUCUGAAUGAACGCUAGCUAUUGACUUAACACAUGCUAGUCAGAAUUUUUAUUCGGCGUAAAGGUGAGUAAAUCUAGGAGAAAAACCAAUGAAGUGAGCCCCCUUCGGGGGUUUUACAUUUUCGUUUGGAAAAACUACCUUAUAAAUAGAGUACGGAAACGUGUACGUAUGAAUCAUGUAACAGGGUUAAAUCUCUGUAUGGUUAAUACGUUAUGAACUCGUUUAUAAGAUGUGCCUAGAAAGGAUUAGAGAAAUCGAUGAUCCUUAGCUGAUCUGAAAGGAUGGUCAGUCACAGUGGAACUGAAAUAAGGACCACACAAUCAGAGUAUUGGCAGCAGUGGGGAAUCUUGGACAAUCAGCCAAUGCGCUGGAUCCAGUCAAAUAGCAUGGAGAAAAAGCAAUGCUUGAUCUCCUAAAGGAAAUGAGGAUAAUGACUGAAAUUUCCUGAAUAGUCCCGGCAAAUCUCGUGCCAGCAGCCGCGGUAAUACGAGAGGGGCGAGCGUGAGUCCUAAUUAUUCGGCGUAAAGAGUAAAAAGGCGGUAAUGGAAGGCAUCCCCUGCCCGGGGGUGUCUCCUGUAAUACAUAUACGGUCUUUUGGUCCGUGUGAGAUGUAAACUAGAGUAAAAUAGAGGAGAGUAGAAUUGAAAGUGUAAGGAUGAAAUCUAGAAAUAUUUUCAGGAAUAUCAAUAGCGAAGGCAACUCUCUUGGUUAUUACUGACGCUGAAUUACGAAAGUGUGGGGAGCAAAUCAGAUUAGAGACCUGAGUAGUCCACACCCUAAACGAUGAAUGUUCGAAGAGGAUAAUAAUCCCCUUCCUACCUAACGGGUUAAACAUUCCGCCUGAGGAGUAAGAUCGCAAGAUUGAAACUCAAAAGAUUAGUCGGUCUCUCACACCAGCAGUGAAGCAUGAAGUUUAAUUUGAUGAUACGCAAAGAACCUUACCUAUCUUUGACAAUUUCAGGCGUUGCAUGGCUGUCGUCAGUUCGUGUUGUGAAACGUUUUAUACGAACAAAACCCCAGAAUUCAUUAUCCCAUUGAGGGAUCGGCCCUCUUUCCGAGGGCUAUAAGUGAAAGGCCUCUCUCCUUUGGAGGUGAAAAUAGUCUAGACUGACUUCAGUCGGUCAGAGACCAACAUUUGUCUUUUGAAUUCAGGGACUACGUCAAGUCAUUAUGACCCAUAUAGAUAGGGCUAAAUUCGUGCCACUAGAAGAAAUACAAAGGGAAACAAUAGAGGAUAAUUGAACUCCGUUGAACUGGAGGAAAUCCCUAAAAUUUCUUAGGUUCAGACAGGACCUUGAAAUUCAGGUCCUCGAAGUAGGAAUUGCUAGUAAUCGUGAAUCAGCCACGUCACGGUGAAUAAAAUCUGAGAGAUGAACUAACCGUCCGUCAUAGUCUGGGAAUCAAUCUGGUUUGAAGUAGGAAAGAGACCAAGAAAUAUCAAAAUGGAUUGAAAAAUCCGAGCACACCCGUAGGGUGUUUUCUAAAUCUCGGUCAUGGUAUCGAAUCAAACCUCGAAAGGGGUGUAAGACAUCAACACCUUCAAGGCGACGUAACACGUCGAUUUUUGGGCAGAUUGAUGGAUGCUUAGAGGAUUGUUUUGAAAUAAGCUUAUCGUCGAUGUUCUAUUAUUAUUGAUUGGUGACUGGAUUAAAGUCGUAGCAAGGUCGGGUUACGGGAACGUGGUCCGGAAUGGUUAAAUGA
rnacentral:rRNA from 1 species